GCGUAGCCCAGGAGGACGCAGGUGACGCCAUUAUCCCGUCUUGUCCCGCAGCCACCACCGCAAAGGCGAAAGGCAGUUCCGGGCCGCCUUCUUGUAUACAGUGGGGGCUCCCAGGAUGCCACGCGGCGCCUACAGCUCCCACCAUGCAGCGCAGCCUUCACGCCCAGGACGCAUCUCUGCGGGAGACGCUGACGCGGCCGGCAAACUACGAGUCCCAUGGUGCAUGGCUACCGGAAGCGCGGUUUCGCUGCUGCCUGCGCGGGCCACACGUGGCCCGGGCGCUAUUGCACUGGUCCAGCCCGCUGCCCUUCCGGGUCUCAGGUGGUUCCCAGACGCGGGAACAGGAGUUCGCUGUCCGGCCCGCCCAGUGGGGUGGGCGAGCUGCUCCGCGCGCUCACACCGCCGAACCGAGCCGCUGCUUCUCCCCAGCGCCUUGGUGGGAGCUCCGGCCGAAGCUGGGAGGCCCUGUCACCGCCGCCCCGAGGAGCGGAGCCAGGAGUGCCGAAGCCCGCGUGACUCCCCCCACACCCCCUGCCCUGGCCUUGUCGGCUCGGGACAGAUCUCAGGGUCCACACGGACGUAGCACACGUAGCACACGUCACUCAUUCACUCUCCGUGUCAGGAACCCUGCUGCAGGCUGGCGUCAGUCCUGAGAGGGAACAGGCCCGGUUCUGCCUCCGCAGAACUCAGGUUCUAGUGCGCGGACACGCAAAGUAAAUAAACGAGGCAGUCCCAGGCUGACACUGUCACGGGGCUGAAGGAUGAGAAGGAGCCGGCCCUGCGAAGAUGUGGGGCGAGCAUUAGCCCCCAGGGGUCAGAUGCAAAGGCCCAACUAAGGUGGCCGGAGAUGGGUUCAGAGGCAGCAGCCAGCCCAUGCGGGCUCUGACAGCAGGUGAACCCGCGUGUUAGCGCCAAGCACUGGUUUGUUAACGCAAGCCACACGGUACCCUUAUCGUAUAGAUGAAGUCAGACAUAGAAAGGUUUUCUUGCUCGGGGUCACACAGCUGCGGUAAAGUGGGGAAACCGUUUGGGAAGGAUGGGACUUUACUGCAAUCACACAAGAAAGUGUUGUGAUUGUUUUUAUUUAAAUUUUUAAAUGGUAAAAUAAUACAUAACGUAAAACUUACCAUUUUAACCAUGCAAUUUAGGGACACUAGGUGCAUUGACAUUGUUGUGCAAUCAUCACCCCCAUUUAGCUCCAGAACUUCUCAAACUGAACUCCAUACACAUUAAACAAUAGCUCCCCAUUCCCCUCCCCCAGCCCCUGGCCCCCACCAUUUUACAUUCCGUUUCUAUGUAUUUGACUGCUCUAGAGGUUUUACAGAAGUGGAGUCAUACAGCAUUUGUCCUUUUGUGUCUGGCUUGUUUCUUUAGAGUAAUGCUCUCAAGGUUCAUCUACAUUAUAGCAUGUGUCAGGAUUUCAUUUCUUUUUAAGACUGAAUAAUGUUCCUGUGAUUGGU